rnacentral:rRNA from 1 species
AUGCACGCUGGCGGCGUGCCUAAUCCCUUCAAGUCGAGCGCACGGACGCGAAGCUUGCUUCUCUGAUGUUAUCGGCGUCCGGGUUAGUAACACUUUGUUAACCUACCUAUAAGACUGGGUUAACUUCGGGAAACCGGAGCUAAUACCGGAUAAUAUUUUUAACCGCUUGGUUCAAAAGUUAAAGUCGGUCUUUCUUUCUCUUAUAUAUUUAUCCGAGCUGCAUUAGCUAGUUGGUAAGGUAACGGCUUACCAAGGCAACGAUGCAUAGCCGACCUGAGAGGGUGAUCGGCCACACUGGAACGGAGACACGGACCAGACAACUACGGGAGGAAGCAGUAGGGAAUAUUACGCAAUGGGCGAAAGCAUGACGGAGCAACGCCGCGUGAGAGAUGAAGGUCUUCGGAUCGUAAAACUCUGUUAUUAGGGAAGAAAAUAAGUGUAAGUAACAGUGCACAUCUUGACGGUACCUAAUAAGAAAGCAACGGCUAACUACGUG